GCUUCUUUUUCCACCGGAGCUUGCUCCACCGGAAAAAGAAGAGUGGCGAACGGGUGAGUAACACGUGGGUAACCUGCCCAUCAGAAGGGGAUAACACUUGGAAACAGGUGCUAAUACCGUAUAACAAUCGAAACCGCAUGGUUUUGAUUUGAAAGGCGCUUUCGGGUGUCGCUGAUGGAUGGACCCGCGGUGCAUUAGCUAGUUGGUGAGGUAACGGCUCACCAAGGCCACGAUGCAUAGCCGACCUGAGAGGGUGAUCGGCCACAUUGGGACUGAGACACGGCCCAAACUCCUACGGGAGGCAGCAGUAGGGAAUCUUCGGCAAUGGACGAAAGUCUGACCGAGCAACGCCGCGUGAGUGAAGAAGGUUUUCGGAUCGUAAAACUCUGUUGUUAGAGAAGAACAAGGAUG
rnacentral:rRNA from 1 species